rnacentral:rRNA from 1 species
GACGAACGCUGGCGGCGUGCUUAACACAUGCAAGUCGAACGGAAAGGCCCUGCUUUUGUGGGGUGCUCGAGUGGCGAACGGGUGAGUAACACGUGAGUAACCUGCCCUUGACUUUGGGAUAACUUCAGGAAACUGGGGCUAAUACCGGAUAGGAGCUCCUGCCGCAUGGUGGGGGUUGGAAAGUUUCGGCGGUUGGGGAUGGACUCGCGGCUUAUCAGCCUGUUGGUGGGGUAGUGGCUUACCAAGGCUUUGACGGGUAGCCGGCCUGAGAGGGUGACCGGCCACAUUGGGACUGAGAUACGGCCCAGACUCCUACGGGAGGCAGCAGUGGGGAAUAUUGCACAAUGGGCGGAAGCCUGAUGCAGCAACGCCGCGUGCGGGAUGACGGCCUUCGGGUUGUAAACCGCUUUCGCCUGUGACGAAGCGUGAGUGACGGUAAUGGGUAAAGAAGCACCGGCUAACUACGUG